AGAUAUUAAGGCACACACCUCUUCCAAACCCUAGACAACCCAAUCCGACCUACUUUCAACACCGGCCACCAGGACGGAAAGUCUAAUGUAAGCUAAUCUAGCAGAAAAACCUCUCGUGAGAUCUAGCAACUACAAACAGACAUCCACCCAACCUUAUUUCCCACACCAGCAAUAGAACUAAAUAACUCCACCAGGAACUCUUCUUCCCAGACUAAGAGAAAACGCCUUCACCUAAUAUUCC
rnacentral:lncRNA from 1 species